rnacentral:lncRNA from 10 species
CACAGAAGGAAGAAAGAGAAAUUUAUUCUUUUUUUUCUUCUUCCUGCCUGCCUGCUUGAGCUGAGCUACAUUUUUCUUCCCCUUCCCUUUGACUUGGAUUUACCCAAUUAGCUCCCGUGGUUCUCAGCCCUUUGGACUCGAACUAGAAUGACACUACCAGCUUUGAAGUUGAUCCAAGACAGAGAAGAAGAUACAUGGAGCUUAUUUGGGAGGUGCACUGAUAAAAGAUUGCAGACAUGAAAAAAGGGAAGAGAAGAAACUCUUUUCAAGGUUUCAGAAGAAACUACCUUAAUGAAGAAACAGAAGGGAAAGACGUGAAAACCUCCAGAGUUCUUCAGAAAGGCUUCCUUUGCAUAGAAUCGUUCAUCAAUUUCAACAGUAACAGAAAGUAACGGAAACGUGAUCUGAAUGAGUAGCUGAAAAUUGAGUAGUAACUUAACACUCCAUUGAAGUUUUUCAUCAGAUAUGGGGCACAGCUUGACCCUCGUAUUAUAAAUAUUUAAAUGCUUUGGAUAUUUUGCCAAAGUUUAAGCAUUUCUUCCCAAAGGAACAGUGGUGAUAUAAUGUGAGUCAUGCUAAAGUACUUAACCAUCAGUGGGCAGAUUUUGUGGCAUGAAUUUUUGUAAUGAUUUUAAGUAAGACCCGGUAUAUUCACAAAUAUCCAAAACUUUAUUUAGAACUGUAUGGGAAGCUAUUCUAUCUAAAAGCUCAUUCUUAUUAAAAGUAUUUUUUCAGGAAAUAAAAUGAUGUUAAACCUGGAAGUCUCCAGCAAAGAGACUGAUUUUUUUUUAGAUGCUCCCAACUCAGUAAAUUUUGCUUUCCUAUUUUCUUAUUUUUGUACGUAUGCCACUGAUGUCUAGCUUAUACACUUCUGUUAUAUUUACAGCUGUUUACAACCAUUGAACCAAAAGUUCUAUACCUGUUGAAUGUCUAAAAGUAGAGAAAAUUAAUUGAAAAGCAAUAGGUUAAGAAUCAACCUGUGGUCCCAAGAAAAAGAAGUAAAAUCCUAUAAAAUUCUUAAAGCAUUUCCUCUAUAAAUAUUUGAAAGUUAUUUAAUCUUUUGGUCUUUAUAGUGCCUGGAUUGACAUUCUGCAUUAACUAUGGAAUCAUUUUUAUAAGGAAUAUUUUGUGAUUUGUAUAAGAAAAAGUAUUUCUCAAUGGCAUAGGAAGAGCUUUGCUAACUCUUAGAAGAAAGAGGGAAGAGAAGAGGGAAGGAAACAAGUAAAACGAACUGGUGGUACAUCGUGUAUUAAGAGAUAAUACAAGGAUAUCAUACUAUAAUGUUUUCAGACAAAAAUUAUGGACAGGCUAAUUCGUGAAAUAAGAUGAAGACCUAAAAGGUAGCAAUGAUCCUAUACACUAUACUCUGUAACAGUUGUUUUCAAACUGCUUUUUAAACAUAAAAACAAUUUUAAAUCCACUAUUUUAGCACAUUCUGGUCUUAUAUAGUAAUUACAUGGCUAUAUUUUUCCAGUGUGACAUAUUUAAAAUACAUAUCAUUAAAUUUCUGGUUAAUCUUAAACAUGGAAAUAAAGUACGAAAUUUCUAGUUGUUGAAGUAUGUUUAAAAUAAAAUAUAUUAAAAUAUCAUUAUUUCAGUCAAUAAUUUAAAGUAAAUGGGGGUAUAUUUGUGUACGUACAUAUAUGCAUAUAUGUGUGAAUGCACAGAAAUACAAACAUGUCUAUAUAAGGAUCUAUACUGCUCUAAAUUUUUAAAACACAGAAGAAAAAAAAACUAAGAUGUAUUUUUAUGACUUUUUAGUCAACUAUAGGGAAUUCUUCAAUUGUCCAGAACUCCUUCCUCUUUUUAAGGCCAAAGGAUCAUUACCUUCUUUUAUCCACAUUAAAAAAGAAAAUCAACUUAAUCUCUAAAUGAAUAUUAAAUUGAUUUCCUCUUAAAGCUGACAUCUGUUUAACAUAAGCUAAUUCCAGAGGGCUAAAAGAAUUAUAAGCCAAAAAUGAAACCCUAAGUCUCCCCAGGUGGCUGAACAGACUCGCUCUGUGCCAAGGGAACCUCAGAGAAACCUGAAAAACUGAAUUCCUACCCAUGACUAGAAGGGACAUCAGACAUGCCUCAUUAUAUCCCAUUCCUUUGGAGUUAGUACAAAAUUGACCAACAUUAACAUUAAAACAGAGGUCGGCUGGGCGCAGUGGCUCAUGCCCGUAAUCCCAGCAUUUUGAGAGGCCGAGGCUGGCGGAUCACGAGGUCAGGAGAUCCUGGAUAACACGGUGAAACCCCGUCUUAACUAAAAACUCAAAAAAUUAGCCGGGCGUGGUGGCAGG